AUUUUAAAAUAAGUUUCAUAAUUUAUUCUAUAUAUGAUGAAGUCAAAUAGUUUUAGUAGGAUAUACACUUUGUAUACAAUACAAUCUUAAACACUCCCGUUCGUGCCCAACCAAUACCUCAAGAUAACUUCAUAUCUUAAAAUCUAAAAAUAAAAUAGCAACUAAAUAUAAAUUGCCAUUUAAGCCAAACAGACAAUUAUACGUCACCAUAUAACUGUGAUUCGGUCAAUGAUUCAUAUACAGAUGAACAUGGGAAAAUAACAUUAUGCAUACAAUAACAGAGACGUCAUGGGUUAUAGUGUUUGAUACACUUAGUCAUGGUUUUAUUAUUAUAUUUUAAGAUAUUUUAUCCGUCAUAUAUUUAUAUACACUAAACAUUUUAAAAAUAGAUAAUACACAACAUACAUUGCAGUGUUAUGUAACAAUAAGAAAAGAAACUUAGUACAGUCAAGACUCACUUCAACAGGUUAUCCUCAGCACCAACAGUGUAGAUCUUUAGCCUUACACCCUACAAUGUAGAUCUUUAUCCUUUGACAUAAUAAUGUAAAUCUUUAGCCUUAGACCCUUAGAUCUAAUAAAGUAGAUCUUUACCCUUUGGCCUAAUGAUGUGAAUCUGUGGCCUUAGAGCCUUAGACCUAACGAUGUAGAUCUUCAUUCUUACACCAUACAAUGUAGAUGUUUAUUCUUACACCAUACAAUGUAGAUCUUUAUUCUUACACCAUACAAUGUAGA